CAUCCCAGAUAGCAGCUGAUUCCGGGGCGGAUCCGCCCUCAGGUCGCUAGAUCCGCCCUCAGGUCGCCAGGUCGCUAGAUCCGCCCGCAGGUCGCUAGAUCCGCCCUACUGCCGCACUCGGUUUGGUCAUGUGAACCGGAUCCACCCGCAUCUGCAUCCGGUUCACACAGCGGCGGUUGUUCUAAAUCGUUGCUCCUCUGACUUCUGCGCCUCGACUUUCCAAACUGGAAUUUUCAAACCUGCAGCUCUUCGCGCCAGACAUAUUACUUAGUUUUACAGAAGUGUUCAUCAGGAUCGAUCUCUACAAUUCAGCAAAACAGUAGCAGUCGUGCCACAAAGCUGGUACAGUGGUGGUGGCUGCGUUUGGCCAGAUUACCCGAGGGAUGAAAGGGUGGACAAGGCGGUCCGAAGUGCCGAAGAACCUGAACCUGACUGGCAGACACAUUAUGUCAGAAUAAUUAGAUCAUGCGAUGAUUACUUGGUGGCAAGGCGAUGGUUAACAAAAUAUAUGUCCUGUGACACAUCUGAUCUCCAUUCAGAAGAGGAGGCAAUUCCUUAAAGGAGAAAGCCAAUGCCUGUCCAUUUCUUUGGUGACUCGGAUGCAGACAGCGAGACUGAAAAUCGCCACCCCAAAAAAAAAAAGGGUCCAACCACUAGCAGGACAGUUGCCCCUCCUCCAACUAUUGUCCCAUCUCCUCCACAGACUUCAUCACCAGCAGGACAGCGAACAAGCCAUGCAGGGUACACACCAACCUGGCGAGCGGCGAGGUGUGGUUCGAACACCAUUGCCUGCUGUGCUCAAAGAUCCAGCCAACGCUAUAAUGAAGGAGAGUGAUUUCCUCCCUGGGAACAAUCGGAGGACAUGAUGUAAAACGUGCAACGUGGAACAUCCUCGCACGCAUGUUCACUGAUGAUGUUGGCAAGUCCAUAAAUUGGAAAGGGAUUCAUGGAAAAAAAUCUUUCAAUCUAAUGACGUCCAAGACUUUGCUCCUGCGUGAAUGUUACUCAACUAUACCUUUACAUAAUAGUUAUAUGAUAUAUUAGCUCUAUGGAGUGGAGAUGGUCAGCUGCUUCAGGUUCCUCGGGGUCAACAUCAGCAAUGACCUCACCUGGUCUGCUCA